rnacentral:rRNA from 1 species
UACGUAGGGGGCAAGCGUUGUCCGGAUUUAUUGGGCGUAAAGAGCGUGUAGGCGGCUUUACAGGUCCGUUGUGAAAACUCGAGGCUCAACCUCGAGACGCCGGUGGAAACCGUAAGGCUAGAGUCCGGAAGAGGAGAGUGGAAUUCCUGGUGUAGCGGUGAAAUGCGCAGAUAUCAGGAGGAACACCCGUGGCGAAAGCGGCUCUCUGGGACGGUACUGACGCUGAGGAGCGAAAGCCAGGGGAGCAAACGGG